UAAGACACAAUCUUCUUUCUCUCUCUAUAUAGCCUCCGACACAUGCACCUGUUGGAAAUAUAACAGUGUGACUCAUCUGGUGGACCAAGAUGCACUAUUGGCACUUCUGCCAUAAUUUCCAAAUAUAGUAAAUGCUAUAUUUAAACACAAAGAAAUUCAGAAAUCUAAACCAUAAAGGUAAAAAAAAACUAGAAAUAAUAAUUCCCUACAUCGUAUCA
rnacentral:lncRNA from 1 species